rnacentral:rRNA from 1 species
GAUGAACGCUGGCGGCGUGCCUAAUACAUGCAAGUCGAGCGAACAGACGAGGAGCUUGCUCCUCUGACGUUAGCGGCGGACGGGUGAGUAACACGUGGAUAACCUACCUAUAAGACUGGGAUAACUUCGGGAAACCGGAGCUAAUACCGGAUAAUAUAUUGAACCACAUGGUUCAAUAGUGAAAGACGGUUUUGCUGUCACUUAUAGAUGGAUCCGCGCCGCAUUAGCUAGUUGGUAAGGUAACGGCUUACCAAGGCAACGAUGCGUAGCCGACCUGAGAGGGUGAUCGGCCACACUGGAACUGAGACACGGUCCAGACUCCUACGGGAGGCAGCAGUAGGGAAUCUUCCGCAAUGGGCGAAAGCCUGACGGAGCAACGCCGCGUGAGUGAUGAAGGACUUCGGAUCGUAAAACUCUGUUAUUAGGGAAGAACAAAUGUGUAAGUAACUAUGCACGUCUUGACGGUACCUAAUCAGAAAGCCACGGCUAACUACGUG